rnacentral:rRNA from 1 species
AAACUUUUAACAACGGAUCUCUUGGUUCUGGCAUCGAUGAAGAACGCAGCGAAAUGCGAUAAGUAAUGUGAAUUGCAGAAUUCAGUGAAUCAUCGAAUUUUGAACGCACAUUGCGCCCGCCAGCAUUCUGGCGGGCAUGCCUGUUCGAGCGUC